rnacentral:rRNA from 1 species
CCCUUAGAUGUUCUGGGCCGCACGCGCGCUACACUGAUUCAUGCAACAAGUUUUGUCCUUGGCUGAUAGGCCUGGGUAAUCUUUGAACGUGAAUCGUGAUGGGGAUAGAUGAUUGCAAUUAUUCAUCUUCAACGAGGAAUUCCUAGUAAACGCAAGUCAUCAGCUUGCAUUGAUUACGUCCCUGCCCUUUGUACACACCGCCCGUCGCACCUACCGAUUGAAUGGUCCGGUGAAAUCUUCGGAUCUGAGAGAUGUCUGAUUAAUUUCGGACGCCUUUUGGAAAAGUUGUUUAAACCUUNCNAUUUAGNGGAAGGUGAANUCGUANCA